UGAAUGCACCCAAUCUAGUUCAAUCUUGGAAGCUAAGCA
rnacentral:rRNA from 1 species